rnacentral:tRNA from 1 species
CCAUAUUGUCUAGUGGUUAGGAUACCUGGCUCUCACCCAGGAGACCCGGGUUCAAUUCCCGGUAUGG